UUGACCUCGGAUCAGGUAGGGUUACCCGCUGAACUUAAGCAUAUCAAUAAGCGGAGGAAAAGAAACCAACAGGGAUUGCCUCAGUAACGGCGAGUGAAGCGGCAACAGCUCAAAUUUGAAAUCUGGUCACCUUACGGAGGCCCGAGUUGUAAUUUGAAGAGGAUGCUUUUGGCGAGGUGCCUUCCGAGUGCCCUGGAACGGGACGCCACAGAGGGUGAGAGCCCCGUAUGGUUGGACACCGAGCCUAUGUAAAGCUCCUUCGACGAGUCGAGUAGUUUGGGAAUGCUGCUCAAAAUGGGAGGUAAACCCCUUCUAAAGCUAAAUAUUGGCCAGAGACCGAUAGCGCACAAGUAGAGUGAUCGAAAGAUGAAAAGCACUUUGAAAAGAGAGUUAAACAGCACGUGAAAUUGUUGAAAGGGAAGCGCUUGCGACCAGACUUGCGCCCGUCGGAUCAACCGUCGCUUGUCGGCGGCUCACUCCGGCGGGCUCAGGCCAGCAUCAGUUUUCCCGGGGGGAGAAAGGCGGUGGGAAUGUAGCUCCUAGGAGUGUUAUAGCCCGCCGCGUAAUACCCUCGGGGGGACUGAGGACCGCGCAUCUGCAAGGAUGC
rnacentral:rRNA from 1 species